ACUCCUACGGGAGGCAGCAGUGAGGAAUAUUGCGCAAUGGGCGAAAGCCUGACGCAGCGACGCCGCGUGGAGGAUGAAGGUCUUCGGAUUGUAAACUUCUGUUAAGUGGGAAGAAAGAGCUGUUUUUAAUAGAAGCAGUUAAUGACGGUACCAUUAAAGAGAGCACCGGCUAAACUCGUGCCAGCAGCCGCGGUAAUACGAGUGGUGCAAGCGUUAUUCGGAAUAAUUGGGCGUACAGGGUGUGUAGGCGGUAUGUUAAGUCUGUUGUUAAAGACUCCGGCCUAACCGGAGAUGGGCGGCGGAAACUGGCGUACUAGAGGGUGGAAGAGAGAAGUGGAAUUCUCGGUGUAGCGGUAAAAUGCGUAGAUAUCGAGAGGAACACCGAUGGCGAAGGCAGCUUCUUGGUCCAUACCUGACGCUGAAACACGAAAGCGUGGGGAGCAAACAGGAUUAGAUACCCUGGUAGUC
rnacentral:rRNA from 1 species